UGCCAGCCGCCGCGGUAAUACGGAGGGUGCAAACGUUGCUCGGAAUCAUUGGGCGUAAAGCGCACGUAGGCGGCUAGGUAUGUCGGAUGUGAAAGCCCUCGGCUUAACCGAGGAAGUGCAUCCGAAACUGCUUAGCUUGAGUACGGGAGAGGGUAGCGGAAUUCCCGGUGUAGAGGUGAAAUGCGUAGAGAUCUGAAGGGACAUCAGUGGCGAAGGCGACACUCUGGCUCGAUACUGACGCUGAGGUGCGAAAGCGUGGGGAGCAAACAGGAUUAGAUA
rnacentral:rRNA from 1 species